rnacentral:rRNA from 1 species
UACGGAGGGUGCGAGCGUUGUCCGGAAUCACUGGGCGUAAAGGGUGCGUAGGCGGGUCUUUAAGUCAGGGUGAAAUCCUGGAGCUCAACUCCAGAACUGCCUUUGAUACUGAAGAUCUUGAGUUCGGGAGAGGUGAGUGGAACUGCGAGUGUAGAGGUGAAAUUCGUAGAUAUUCGCAAGAACACCAGUGGCGAAGGCGGCUCACUGGCCCGAUACUGACGCUGAGGCACGAAAGCGUGGGAGCAAACAGGG